rnacentral:rRNA from 1 species
GUGCCAGCCGCCGCGGUAAUACGUAGGGUGCAAGCGUUAUCCGGAAUUAUUGGGCGUAAAGAGCUCGUAGGCGGUUUGUCACGUCUGCUGUGAAAACUGGAGGCUCAACCUCCAGCCUGCAGUGGGUACGGGCAGACUAGAGUGCGGUAGGGGAGAUUGGAAUUCCUGGUGUAGCGGUGGAAUGCGCAGAUAUCAGGAGGAACACCGAUGGCGAAGGCAGAUCUCUGGGCCGUAACUGACGCUGAGGAGCGAAAGCAUGGGGAGCGAACAGGAUUAGAUACCCUGGUAGUCCAUGCCGUAAACGUUGGGAACUAGAUGUAGGGACCAUUCCACGGUUUCUGUGUCGCAGCUAACGCAUUAAGUUCCCCGCCUGGGGAGUACGGCCGCAAGGCUAAAACUCAAAGGAAUUGACGG